GAUGAACGCUGGCGGCGUGCCUAAUACAUGCAAGUCGAGCGAACGGACGAGAAGCUUGCUUCUCUGAUGUUAGCGGCGGACGGGUGAGUAACACGUGGAUAACCUACCUAUAAGACUGGGAUAACUUCGGGAAACCGGAGCUAAUACCGGAUGAUAUUUUGAACCGCAUGGUUCAAAAGUGAAAGACGGUCUUGCUGUCACUUAUAGAUGGAUCCGCGCUGCAUUAGCUAGUUGGUAAGGUAACGGCUUACCAAGGCAACGAUGCAUAGCCGACCUGAGAGGGUGAUCGGCCACACUGGAACUGGGACACGGUCCAGACUCCUACGGGAGGCAGCAGUAGGGAAUCUUCCGCAAUGGGCGAAAGCCUGACGGAGCAACGCCGCGUGAGUGAUGAAGGUCUUCGGAUCGUAAAACUCUGUUAUUAGGGAAGAACAUAUGUGUAAGUAACUGUGCACACCUUGACGGUACCUAAUCAGAAAGCCACGGCUAACUACGUG
rnacentral:rRNA from 1 species